UACGUAGGGCGCAAGCGUUGUCCGGAAUUAUUGGGCGUAAAGAGCUCGUAGGCGGCUUGUCACGUCGAUUGUGAAAGCCCGAGGCUUAACCUCGGGUCUGCAGUCGAUACGGGCUAGCUAGAGUGUGGUAGGGGAGAUCGGAAUUCCUGGUGUAGUGGUGAAAUGCGCAGAUAUCAGGAGGAACACCGGUGGCGAAGGCGGAUCUCUGGGCCAUUACUGACGCUGAGGAGCGAAAGCGUGGGGAGCGAACAGG
rnacentral:rRNA from 1 species